CACAUGACCAGAGCUGUUUACUUCCUGGUCUUCGAGAAAGUGGAUGUCCACGGAGAAGCUGCCAAAGAAAAGGUUUCCUCCCGUUCAUUCCUCCCUUGCCUCCUGCAAGCAGCAUUGCGAGCGGAUAUAUCAUCAGGAUAAACCGGGUGGUCUUGGUCGGGCUACGCCACAGCCACAGGUGAGGUUCUGGUGAUUGG